UUCUCUCUUUAAACCUCAGGCCGAAUGCGUAGAUUUUCAGGAUGAUUUGAAGGUUAUCUAGCGAGAAGAAAUAGCAAGCCAACCAAACAGAUAAAAUGUCCUUCCCCUGGGGAGCUUCCAAUCUCACAAGGAACAACAACAUAUAAGAAGAAUAAGAAGGAAGUUGUCUUUCUACUUAACAGCCAACAGCAUACUUCACGGUCUAUCUCCAGGGUAAGGGACAUCAAGGAUACAAAUGACUGAGCUGCUGCUCCUCAGUGUCUCCUGUUUUUCAUGGAGGGGCCUCAGAUCUUACGUACUUACGGAAACGUGUUUUUCAGGCCUCUGACUUGGCAAGAAAACAAACACGGGACACCUGCUGAUGAGGCAAUUGUGAAGAGUUGAAGAGGACUAUUUCCCACCUGCCGUUGACAGUGUGAGCCAGCUGAAAAUCAUUUCUUGGGGGUCCUGUCUGUUUCUACAAAGGUUUCCAAGUUAAAAACAUCCUAUCCCCCUGGAUGGUACAGGUUCCACUGCUGGUGAAUGCUUAUGAAGCAGGCAGGCGCUCAGCGGAAAGAUCAGAGGAGACGAAGGGACCGAAAAUAUUUAUUAAAGUAGCAAAAAAUGGAACCAUACUGUAAGCUCCAAUCUGCUUUGGUAGAAUUCUUUUGCUUUCUUUAAAAACCAGAUGUAAUAAAUGUCCCCCAGUUGGCUGGUAGUAGCCUCAUUACCCCAUUUCCACAUAAUUGCCGGGUUUGAUCAAGCAAAACUGAACAGCAGCUGGCCCAGAUAUCAGUUGGAGCUUCCGUUUUAGGUAAAGAAGUUUUCAGAGCACACGUUCUCCCCAUU